AGCAUCUCCAACGGUGAACUCAAUAUGGACUAGAGUCUACUGUGCCACAGCAAUUCACUCAUUUUCUACUCGAAUAGUGAACUCAACAUAAUUCAAGUUCUAGUAGAACCCAAAAUUGUGAAGAUGAUAGAAACUGUACAAUCACUCAUUGACAAAUCUGAAGACGCUGCAUCGAUAAUUACUCUAUCAAAUAUAUUCAGCGAUGAUCUUGCUAUGAUCAUUAAUUAUUGCAAGAAAUUAUUAUACUACGAACAAGAAGAGACCAAUGAUGCAAAAGACAAGUUUGAUGUUGAAUUUGAGAAUCAACUGAGCGAAGAUGACGAAAUUGAGCGUAGAUGCAAAUUACCUAGGCAUAACUAGCCUUCUUGAAUCAAAUGAAGAAGAGGAUCGUCGACUUGAAAAUACUCUUGAUGAAGAAGAAGUCGAACAGAGUCCAAAAUGCUAUUGAAUGUUUCAAAAUAUUUUGUUUAGUUGAGUAGCCUAUGAAUUAGAAUUAAGAAUUCUUCAAUUUGUACCAAAAAUUAGAAAUUUAAUAUUUUAUAUCGUCUCUGUA